rnacentral:rRNA from 1 species
AACGAACGCUGGCGGCGUGCCUAACACAUGCAAGUCGAGCGAGAAAGGGGAGCAAUCCCCGAGUAAAGCGGCAGACGGGUGAGUAACACGUGGGUAAUCUGCCCUCGGGCGGGGAAUAACAUCUCGAAAGAGGUGCUAAUACCGCAUAACAUCCAUGGACCUGUGGGUUCGUGGAUCAAAGGUGGGGAUCUUCGGACCUACCACUCGAGGAGGAGCCCGCGCCUGAUUAGCUAGUGGUGGGGUAAUGGCCUACCAAGGCGACGAUCAGUAGCCGGCCUGAGAGGGUGAACGGCCACACUGGAACUGAGAUACGGGCCAGACUCCUACGGGAGGCAGCAGUAGGGAAUAUUGGUCAAUGGGUGAGAGCCUGAACCAGCCAUGCCGCGUGCAGGAAGAAGGCC